GGACCGCCGUGUCUCGUGCGCUUGCACUGCCGGCCGUGGACCUCCGCCUCCCCCGCGCGCGGGCCCCACUCGCCGCCGGCGUAUGCUGCGCAUCCCUCGUCGCCUUCCGCCUCCGAUCGCCGCCCUUCGCCCGCGCCACCGCCGCCCUAUCCUCCUCCGCUGCCGAUUAUAAAGUAGCCGUUCAAACAGAGAAGGCCCCUGCAGCACUGGGACCUUAUUCUCAAGCUAUUAAAGCAAAUAACCUUCUUUUUGUCUCCGGUGUCCUUGGUCUUGUUCCUGAGACAGGAAAAUUCAUCUCUGAUAGUGUCGAGGAGCAAACCGAGCAGGUUCUGAAGAACAUGGGUGAAAUACUGAAAGCUGGUGGUGCUAGUUAUUCUUCAGUUGUCAAGACAACAAUCAUGCUUGCAGACCUGAAGGAUUUUAAGAAAGUGAACGAGAUAUAUGCGAAAUACUUCUCAUCUCCUGCCCCUGCAAGAUCAACUUAUCAGGUAGCUGCACUACCUUUGGAUGCCCGCAUUGAGAUAGAGUGCAUUGCAGCUCUAUAGACCCUAAACCGCAAAACUUCGGUGAAUAAUAUCAGCUC
rnacentral:misc_RNA from 1 species